AUGAACGCUGGCGGCGUGCCUCAUGCAUGCAAGUCGAACGGGAACACUUUUAGUAGCAAUACUGGGGGUGUCCUAGUGGCGAUCGGGUGAGUAACACGUAGGUGACCUGCCCCGAAGAGGGGGAUAACGGUCCGAAAGGACUGCUAAUACCCCAUGUGGUUGAUGAUUCAUUUCGUCAAUUAAAGUUUCCGCAAGGAGUAUGCUUUGGGAGGGGCCUGCGGCGGAAUUAGAUAGUUGGUGGGGUAAUGGCCUACCAAGUCGAUGAUCCGUAGCUAGUCUGAGAGGACGAUUAGCCACACUGGCACUGACACACGGGCCAGACUCCUACGGGAGGCAGCAGCAGGGAAUAUUGCACAAUGGGCGAAAGCCUGAUGCAGCAACGCCGCGUGAGGGAUGAAGGUCUUCGGAUUGUAAACCUCUUUUACAGGGGACGAGUAAGGACGGUACCCUGUGAAUAAGCAACGGCUAACUACGUGCCAGCAGCCGCGGUAAUACGUAGGUUGCGAGCGUUAUUCGGAUUUACUGGGCGUAAAAGAGCACCGAGGUGGCUUCUUAAGUUGGAUGUAAAAUCUCCUGGCUUAACUGGGAGGCGCCAUUCAAAACUGAGGAGCUUGAGGUCAGCAGGGGAAGGUGGAAUUCCCGGUGUAGUGGUGGAAUGCGUAGAGAUCGGGAGGAACACCAGUGGCGAAAGCGACCUUCUGGGCUGCACCUGACACUCUAGUGCGAAGGCGUGGGGGAGCAAACAGGAUUAGAUACCCUGGUAGUCCACGCCCCUAAACGAUGGAUACUAGGUGUGGGAGGUAUUGACCCCUUCCGUGCCGAAGCCAACGCGUUAAGUAUCCCGCCUGGGGACUACGGCCGCAAGGUUAAAACUCAAAGGAAUUGACGGGGGCCCGCACAAGCAGCGGAGCGUGUGGUUCAAUUCGAUGCAACACGAAGAACCUUACCCAGGCUUGACAUGCAAGUGGUAGCGAAGCGAAAAGCGGAGCGACCCGCAAGGGAGCUUGCACAGGUGUUGCAUGGCUGUCGUCAGCUCGUGCCGCGAGGUGUUGGGUUUAAGUCCCGCAACGAGCGCAACCCUCGUCGUUAGUUACAUGUGUCUAAUGAGACUGCCGAGAUAAACUCGGAGGAAGGUGGGGAUGACGUCAAGUCAGCAUGACCUUUAUGCCUGGGGCUACACACACGCUACAAUGGGUGGCUACAGCAGGUUGCGAAGCCGCAAGGCGGAGCCAAUCCUUAAAAUCACCCUCAGUUCAGAUUGCAGGCUGCAACUCGCCUGCAUGAAGUCGGAGUUGCUAGUAAACGCGGGUCAGCUAUACCGCGUUGAAUACGUUCCCGGGCCUUGUACACACCGCCCGUCACGUCAUGGAAGCCGGUAACACCUGAAGCCGGUGGGCUAACCCGCAAGGGAGGCAGCCGUCGAAGGUGGGACUGGUGACAGGGACG
rnacentral:rRNA from 1 species